rnacentral:rRNA from 1 species
ACGGCCGCAAGGUUAAAACUCAAAUGAAUUGACGGGGGCCCGCACAAGCGGUGGAGCAUGUGGUUUAAUUCGAUGCAACGCGAAGAACCUUACCUGGUCUUGACAUUCACGGAAGUUUUCAGAGAUGAGAAUGUGCCUUCGGGAACCGUGAGACAGGUGCUGCAUGGCUGUCGUCAGCUCGUGUUGUGAAAUGUUGGGUUAAGUCCCGCAACGAGCGCAACCCUUAUCCUUUGUUGCCAGCGGUCCGGCCGGGAACUCAAAGGAGACUGCCAGUGAUAAACUGGAGGAAGGUGGGGAUGACGUCAAGUCAUCAUGGCCCUUACGACCAGGGCUACACACGUGCUACAAUGGCGCAUACAAAGAGAAGCGACCUCGCGAGAGCAAGCGGACCUCAUAAAGUGCGUCGUAGUCCGGAUUGGAGUCUGCAACUCGACUCCAUGAAGUCGGAAUCGCUAGUAAUCGUGGAUCAGAAUGCCACGG